GUAAAUAAUCAAUGGAGACAGGAAUGUUUCCACCGUGCAGCAAGAACAGGAGGAAGAAUUUAAAAUGUGUCAUCUUAUGGAGACAGUUCAGUGGUAGCCCAGAUUCAGGAUGAGGGCAGGAGUAGGGUGGAUGUGAAUACAAAGGGGUAGCAUGGGGGGAGUGCUUUUGCGGUGAUGGACCAGCUGUGUAUUUUGAAUGCGGUAGUGGAUAUGCCAGUCUGUACAGGUAAUAAAAUUGCACAGAACUGCACGCAUAUAUACAUACAUAAAAGAAUGCAUGUAAAAACCUGGUAAAAUGAGAAUCUGUAGUCUAGUUAAUAGGAUUGUCCCAAUGUCAGCUUCAUGGUUUUGAUAUUGUGUAAAUAAGAUGCUACCAUUGAGAGAAGCUAGAUAAGGGGUACAUGGGACCUCUCAGUACUAUUUUUGCAAGUUCUUAUAAGUCUUCAAUUAUUACAAAAUGAAAGGCUUUAAAAAGUAUUACCUCAAAGGUAUCACCUUAAGCCAAUGGCAUGUCAACAAUCACCCACUGCACAGUGAUUCAAGCAUGCAGACUUGGCAAUCAAAUUAAGAGACAAGGAUUUGAGUCCCAGCCCCACUACGUACUAGCUGUGUGGCCCUGAAACAGACAUAAGGUCAGAGCUUUGGUUUCCUCAUCUUUUAAAUGAGGAUAAUAGGACCUAUCUCACAGGGUUAUUUUAAGGAUUAAGUGAGAUAAUAUAUGUAGAAUAAGCAGGACUCAUAGAGAGCAUUCAAUAAAUAUUGGCUAUUAUUAUUACUCUAAGUCAGACUAAAUAUUUCUGAGAGCUUUAAAUCACUGAUUAAUUUCAUUGACACUCAAGUACAUACUAAGCAUCAGGCACAUGCUAUAAAUGGCCAAGCAUUGAGUCACACACAAUAUAGUCCCUGGUUCUGGUCUGCGUCCUUUUGGAUUUUCUGGUUCUGUUGUGAAUAUGGUCUCCAAAGAAGCAGGAUGAAUAUUUAUGAAAGUGGGUGCACAGAAGACUCAAGGAGGAACUAACUUAAGAAUAAGAGGUACUUUCUGCAGUCCAGGUUGAAAUGAGAGUUUUCUCUCUGCUAAAAUUUACUGGGGUACAGGGCGGUUUAACUGCAAUACUUAGCUGCAACCAUUCCUUGACCAGCAGAGAUAAAUGAAAAUUGCCUUUCAGUCAAGCACAGGUUAGACCAUUUGUGUUGAUGUGCAAUUUUAAGAGUUAAAACCCUUUACCCAUCAACCAGAAAAAAAGCCAAACCAAAUCUUCCUUUUUCUUUGUUUGGCAAGGAAAUUACAUUAGACUAUCCUAAUGGGCUUAGAGGGAAAAAAAAUCUAAUUGUAGUCUAUAUUAAUACAUUUACAUAUUUUGAAUUAUAUUAAUAAAUACUAAUAAAUUUAGACCAGGGCACUUUAAAGUAAUGAACUUUCCAAUAUUAGAUUAAUGACAAAAUAUACGUAGAAUAUAUCACUCUCUACUAAAUGCUUUAAUAGGUUUGUGAUAUAAAAAUCCUUAAAAGCAAGCACACCACGUAUGGAUGGAGCUGGCAUAGCACCUGAGUACUUUAAAUGUGGUAGUCAAAAUAAUCUACAGUGUGGAAGAAAGAGACAUUUGAAGCAAUUUGGGAGACUUCUAUAUACUUAGGAAUUUAAGGUCUUUCAUAAAUGUAAGCAAACCCCAAACAAGACUGAAAAUGCUUGUAAUGAUAUUUUAUGUUUGUCAACACCGACCCCCCCUCCCGCCAGCCCUCAACAAAAAUAGGAAAUAAAAUGUUCUGCCCUUCUCUGUGCUGGUCUCACUGGAUUGGCUGGGCUUGGGCCCAGAAGGAGAUGGAGAACAGGGAGACCAAGAAGUCAGAGUAUUUACUGUUCCAGUCUAUCCCUGCUUCUCUGUAUUUUGCCCUUGCUGGAGUCUUCUCUGGACACAUUGCCAGGGUCCCUUCCAGCCAAGGCUGCAAGUCAGUGGGCUCUGGUAACGCUGGUCCCUCCCUGGUAACAGCUUCUCAGUGUUGCUAAUUGCUGGGUGCUUCACCACUCACCGUUGGUUCCUUUAAACCUGUCAACACAUUGGCGUAGUUCAUUCCUCAAAUUAAGCCUUUUGAGUGAUUUAUCUGUUUCCUGUUUGGAUCCUGAUCGACACAAAGCCCUUGACUGUGAAUCAGUAGCUAAUGUGGGAGGAUGCCUUAACUUUUGAGAUAAAAGUUAAGACCGUGUUUUGCAUUUUGCUCAGACCAUCGAAAUGGCAUCUUAACAUGAAUGGAACUGUUGAAAGUCAUGUGCAUAGAUACCCACAGAAAUAAUACUAUGUGUUAUGUUACCAUUUUCAAAUCAUUCUAGCAAACUCAAUGUUCCAUACCCUUGCUAAUCUAUUAUUCAUCUGUGGGUCUAAUUAACAUGGCAUCACCAAGCUAGGAACCUAGAGCAAUGUCCAGGGAUUUGUGCCCAUGUGGAGAGGCACCCACCUGGCACAGAGAUGCUUGGCAAAUAUGGAGCCCACGUGCUCCACAAAGUGCUGAGAUGCUUUUAGCCUCUGUAUUGCACUUGGACUGGCUUAUACAUUUCUUUACCAGAUAUUUCAGUCAACUGCAGAAAGGGGUCAUUCAAAAAUAUGUUAAAAGUUUAUUCAUCUAAACUACUUCUGUUGCUGUUGCCAUGGCAACUUUUCUCUAAAGCCACAACUCCAAAUUCUUCUAAAAUUGUUAUUUCAGAAAUCUAAUUUAGCUGACAUCCCAAACACUCAAAUUUUACUAUAAGAUUUUUUUUUAUGUUAGAAAAGUUCUAAGAAAAUGACAAGUAUCCGAAGAGAAGAGGAGAACAAGCCUGACAGGUUUUCAUUUGAAAGAGUCAUGGCAUCUUUCAAGGAAAUUGGAAGUGGAAGAGUCUUCAGUAACAGUAACUGUAUUUGAAUGAAAAAAUUUGGCUUAUAUUUUGUAUAUGUUUCUUGUAUUGAAAAGUAUCCCAUAUUCACAUCCAAGUAGUCACCACAAAGAUAGUGAAAGCAGUACCACAUAAUGACUGGUGGGAGUCCUUGUUGCAUCACUGGAUCUACCUUUACGUUUUUAAGUAUUCAGGGUAUAUUUAAGAAUAAAAUAAAUCAGAAAAAUUGGUCUUUUGAAAAUAAGGUUAGAAUGAGAAAACCUGAGAACAGAAAGUACAUUAAAAGAUAUUAAAUUAAUUAAUUGUGUUUGUAAACAGUGGUCUCAGUCCAAAAUGUGGCAAGCACCCAAGACCGUUAAAUCUAUCCCCACCCUCCCCAUCAUCUCGUAACUCACAAUCUAAAACAGACCAUGCUAAUGGACAUGCAGUGACAUGGCCAGGAGUUAAGAACGGGCUCUGCAAUUCAAUGGGAGAACAGGUAGGCCACAAACCCGCCUGCCACCCUGGGCUGCUCAGGAGAUUUUGAACCCUGAUGUGAUUGAGAGAGAAACGCUGGGAGCCACUGUUUCCCUCCCUCUUUCCUUUGGCUUUUCUUUCAGCAACUCUUCCCUUUUCCCCAGAGCAGGCCGGUCUGUGUCAUUAUCCUCAAGGAGUAGGGACAGAAGCAGGCACUCUAGUUUCUCACUUUCAUACAGAUGCAGAUCCCACAUCCACACACCAAGGCUGCUGAGCACUCCACACAUCCUCAUUUGGAGAUUAUAACUUCUAAUUUUAGGCCCACGAUUAACACAUUUGUUAAACGGGUAUUCUGGCUAAAUCAGAAGAGAGGUGGCAAAUUAGGCAAGGCUGUUAGACGGUCAUAAAGGAAGAAGUUAGCUAAUGUCUGACAUGAGAGAGAAGACAGUAAACAUUUUUUUAACCCAAGAUUAGGAAGGGCUUUGGCAUUGAGGAGUGAAGAAACAAAAAGCCCAAGAUGCUGAGGCUUCUGGAAGGACCACCAACACCCUCUCCAGAGUAAUCCCCACACAGUAUGAAACACACUGUUCAUAACUGUGACUCACAGCCAGGGAAGCUCACUCACAUUUUCUCACCUCUAUCUCUGAAAACCCAAGAAACUACGAAUAAUGUAUUUUAGAAAGUGCCAUACAAAAUUGUUCUCAAAAACAUUUAAGAUUUUGAUAUCUACUGAGAUACAAUUAAGUCAGGGUUUCUCUGUCUCAGCACUAUUGACAUUUGAGGCUGGACAACUCCUUGUUGGGUUGUGUUGUGCUUUGUAGGAUGUUCAGCAACAUGUCAGGUCUCUACUUAAUAGAUGCCUGUGGCAACCCCUGCCAGUUAUGAUAACCAAAAGUGCCUCCAGACAUUGCCCAGGGUCCUCUGGUUCAGAACCACUGGUCGAUUUUACCUAGAAUAUGGAUACCGAGGGACAUAUUGCCAGAUGACAUUAUAUAGAGGAAGUAUUCCUAUACCUUUUGUAUCAUUAGAGAGUUUGGCUGAAAUGAACACUGGGUGGUAAAACAAAGGACUGCUCUGAAAACUUGUACUAGAUUACCUCAGAGUCAGCUGAGGUGAAGUAUUGUAUUGCACUUUCUGAAUCUACUUUGCUGCUGAAUCCUACAUUUUGUAGGGGCUGCUUGAGUAGUAAGUGGUUCACCGUGUAAAUUAAUCAGUGUUUGCCAAACCCAGCUGAUAUUGGAACCACCCCCAAAGCUUUUUCAAAGGAUUGAUUCCAAGUCUGGUCCUUAGAGAUUCUCGUUUAGUAAGAAUUCAGUGAAACUGGAAAGCUAAUUUUUAGUCUCGUCUCUCCCUCUGACCUCAAUCAUCAACUAAUAAAGGGUUAAGUUUGGAAAGUCCUAGCGUAACCUAGGGAAAAAUACACAGGCAGCCAGAUUCAUGUUCUCAUAAAUAUUUAUUGUAUGCCUACCCUGUGCCAGGACCUGCUCUAAGGCAGUGGAAAGACAGUGGGAAAGGAUCAUUGGGUCCUUGCCCUGAAUAAACUUACACACUAGUCAGAGGAGACAGACAAACAAUGAAUAUAUAAUAUAAUACCAAGUGGUGAUGUGAACAAUGAGGGAAGUGGCUAGUGUGAUAUGAUCCAGGGUAACUGAGUGGGCUCAGAAACACUUCAGAGAAAGCAGUCAGGAAAGGCGACAUUUUUCCUGCAAUUUGAAGGAUGUAAAAAAAAAAAGCCUAUCACACAGAGGACAUUCCAGGCAGAAGGGACAGCAAGUACAAAGGCUUGGGGCAGAAAAGAACUGGUCGCAUUUGAGGAACAGAAAGGGCACAGAUGUGGCCAGGCAAUGAUAAGCUUGUGGAGUGGGGUGUGGUAUGAGGCAGAGAAGACCAUGUAAGGAGCACUUGGAAGGUCAAGGUCAUGGAUGAAGCUAUUAUUCUAAGUGGAAUGGAAACCAACCAAAGAGCUUAAGCACUGAAAUGUCACUAUUUCAUUACCUUUUAAAAAGAUUGCACUGGCCAUAGGGACAGCCAACCACUCACUGAGAUGGGAAAGUCUGAGAAUGAAACAGGUGACAGGGAAGUGAGGAAUCAAGAACCCAAUGAAGACUUUGUAUGACUGGACAAUAAUUUCACAACCAAGUUGAGAGUCAUGUGUGUGUGGUCCAGGGUUAUCACAAUGUGGGAACAGGAAAAGUAAAUAAUAAAAGUUCAUCACCAGAAAGGACUAGGCAAAGGGUGGUAAUUGUUUUCAAAUGAUUGGCAGAGAUGUCUGCUAUGCAACAUCCAACAGGAAUCUGAUUUUUUAUCAAUUAGUAGUGGUACUUAAUGAGUGGUUUGAAGGAGGGGAGAUGUAGCUUCCUAAGAUGAUGGGGCUUCCACACCAAAGAGGCCUCAUCCAGGAAAAUUUCUGCAUGCAGCAGAAAAGUAAGCAUGCCAGGUUGGGGGUGGGAGUAGAAAAGGUAUCUACAAUUAGUAGAGGUGUCAAUUAAGAGGAUUCAAUAAUCUCUCACAUAUUUGUAAGUUGAAAAAAUUUUGCUUUUAUGAGGAGACAAAUGACAACCAGAGUAAUAUAAAAAUGGUUUUAUAAAAGUAAGUUCUGGGCCAUGCCACAGGUCAGUAUAAGUUCUGCUGAGUUUCCUAAGAUGUCUACACUGUUAGCACCGAUGGAUGAUAACUGAUUCAUAUCAGCAUAGGCCUGCAACGGCGCCCAGUUCUGGGCAUCUUCAGAAUUACCAGAGAGUAUCCUGUAUUCAAUACCACUCAAUUAUUAAGCAAACUUAAUGACUUCAAAGUCUUUGAAAAUUGAAUGUUCAUAGAGAACAAACGUGGAAACUUUCAUAGUUUCCAUUCUAUGUGAAAACAGGUUCUCUGUCAGGGUAAGCAGCUUGGCACUUCUGGUGAGUUCCUUAGGAAGGGGUUAACUGGAGCAAGGGCAGAGUCAGCAUCUGAUUACAAGGCUGUGGUCAAAAGCACAGAUGGUGCAGUGACCACACCAAACAGGAAGUGACAUCAGCAGCAGAGGAGCUCAGACUAGACCAGUACAAGGAAGGAGAAUGAGCAGCUUAGGACCUCAAAAACUAGGUCUCAACUACUAGAUUCAUGAAGUCAUUCAACACAUUUCUACUGAGCACCUACUGUGCUUCCAGCACUCUGCUAGGUGUCCAGGUGACAGCAGGGACAAGACACACAUAGUACUACUCCCAGCAAGUUUUCAACCUGCCAGCGAGAGAGAAAUGAAUGAUGUCAGUCCAGGGAUUCCUGAUGGUGACUGUAUAAUGGACACUGAUUUGCUUUUCUCUGCCCCACUUGAGGGUAAAGACAGGUUGGGGCACCAGGAGAGAAGAGCUUGAGCCUCCUAAGGUCCCCAGUAAGUCACAAGGCCAAGCUUUUAAUCCAGAUUUUUUUUAGUGUCUUUCAGAAAGACAUAAAGAUAUUGCAUUGAACUUAAUGGAUACUUAAAUUUUUAGUUUUUGUCUACACUAGUCAAAUUUAAAAGCUAUUUGGCCAUGCAAUUUGACAAUACAGAUAGUCACAUUAAGUCACUGAAGGUCCAACAUUUGGUUGUUGGUUUAUUACUGUGGCAAAGUGGAUCGCAGAGGGAUGAUUAGGUUCGACUAUCCUCAUUGUCUAAAUGACUCAGAAGAGCACUGCAGGAUCAGGGCACCUGGAUAAAGCUCUCAGUUCUGUCAGCAGCGACACAUGUGCUGCCUUGAAUUCUACUGUUCUGAGCUUAGAUUUCUUCAAUCAGGAAACAGAAAACCUGCAUAAGGCAGCAAUUGGAUUUCAGACUGAAAUUGACCUAGACUGUGUUCAAAUAUUUUGCAAUCUGUAUAAGACAGUAACAAGGAGGGAAAUAUCAUUAUGACUAUUUGCUUAUUAUAUAAACUUCAAGAGCUUCUCUAGAAAUGCUGCCAGAAAAUCAUUGAUUCAUUCAUGUCAUCCUCAUCCUUCAUACUCUAUCACCUCUUUAUCCCAUCCAAACUAAGUCUGACAGGUUCUAUGUUCUAAGCAUCUCUCCAAUAUGCCAACUGCUCUCAACCUCCUACCCAGCUGCCACCCUAGCAUCAGUCAUCUUCUCGAAUCUCUCCCAGGCCCAAAUACCAGGAUGCACUCUAGCUCCUCCUCAUCCUCACUCCAUACUGGGAUCAUUUCAAAAUGUAAAUCUGAUUCAGUCACCAAAAGGCAUCAAGGACAACACCCAGCUGGAAGGACGGAGUCACCAUAAUCUGAACGUGGGAAAACUGUAGGAGGAAAUUUUUUGAGGAGAACAUUAGCUGCUAACACACAUUAUUUUCUGUGUGUGAUGAUAAAGCAAGAAGACAGUUGUAUUAUACUUUGAAAAUGUCUGUUUAUGUAAAUGGAGGAUGUUCUUGUCUAGUUAAUUGCAUUUUGCUCUCUGUGACCAUUAUGACCAUUUAAAAAGAUGAGUGAGAUGUCCAUAGCAACUCCUAACAUUUUCACUAUCUAACUGUCUCUUUGGAAAAUUGACCAAAUACCUGGAACACAACAGGCAUUCAACAAAUGUUUAUUGAAUGAAUCAAAUGUGAGCCACUGACCUCUUAUAUGCAGUCUCACCUUGGACAAACGAAAAAGCACUGAAGGAAGAGCAUUACAUACUUAUCCCCGAAUUAUAUUUCAGAGGAGGCAGGAGGUAUUAAGGACACAUGGAGGGUCAUUCAUGUCAAGGAAGACAGACCCAAAAAAAACCCAAGAUCACAGGAAAAUGCACAGUGGGACAAAACCCUGUUGAGCAAAGUAAGUGGAAUAUUUGUGCUAAACGGCAAAACAAGCUCUGGAAUUAUCAAAACCCAAAUGAGGGAAGUAAACAAAAGUGCAGCGUUAGAAUAGAUAUUAUACCACCAAGGGUUAUACUAAUAUGAAAAACAAUGGGUCGCACUUAAUAAAGAACAUUCUCUGGACACGUGACUGAUUCAGAGCUGCUGCUUUCUCAUCCUAAAGUAUGCAUAGGAAACUUCAGAGAGCCCGGGUGACUUAUUCCAACCUGGAAUCCCAACAAAUUCCCUCUGGAAUCUUCCUUUUUAUAGUCUUAAACCAGAAUAUACAUACAUGAUAAUCUGUACUAGAAUAAAGGGCUAUUUCAUCAGCAGUCUUCAGAGCCCCAAGAGGGGACAUUAGCAUCGGCUUGACUCUUCAGUUUAUGAUUUUAGAAGAAUCAGACAGCCUAAUUAAAUGACAAUUUUAAAAUAUUUUUGUAAUAUAUUUACAUAAUUGAGGCAAUAACCAUUCAUUGAAUGAAUAGAUUUUUUUAAAAUUAAGGAGCCCGUUCUCACCUUUCCUCCCCCACCCGCACUCUUGCAAAUGGCAAAGACCUCAGAUCAUGAAUCAAAGGGUACCAGCACACAGUUCAAAAAGGUGGUGGGGUGGAGAUGUUGAAUGGGCACAAUGAGCACAGACUCUACUUCCUUCAGUGUAAAGCAACCUCUGUUGAAAAGUGGUUACCCUUUAAACUACUUUAAAAGGCAAAUCACUGAGCCACCGGUGUCUCCAAGACAGAUGAACGAGCAUUAGUAACUUACAAGUAUCUCAUUUGGUGUUUCAAGACAAGUAACUAUAGAAAAACCAGAGAAAGAGCUGUUACAGGUUCCUGGAACGUUUGCCUGGGAAGGUAUCUUAACAAUUUCCUAAUUCAGGUCUUCAUUUUUCCAGUGGAGGAAAGCGAAGUGUACGAGGUGUGCAAUUUGCCCAAUGGCCCUGCAAUUAAUCCAGGAGCCCCGAGGUGACACCAGGAACCAACUGGAGCAGCUCCGGGAUGCCUGAGUCCACCACCCCUGUCCACCUCUACUCCUUUCUUCAAAAAAACAAUUUUUUUUUUUUUUAUGUUGGGGACUGGAUUUUGGAAGACACGAAUUCCAGACAGUUAACUGUCUUUGCCUGAUUAUAAAUAUUAAUGAUUCUUGUCAACUCUCUGCCUGCUUCUCUCCAAUUUUUAAAGUUGGCAGUCAGAACGUCCAGUCUCAACAGUGCAAAUCAAUUCAAGGAAAACUCAGUAAAUUAGCAGAUGACAGAACAACUGCAGUGUCUCAUCUCAAAACGACACAUCUCACACGUGGAAAAUCAAUGUCUGAAGACUGGAAUAAGGGAUAUGGAGAUAGAAGAAAUCUAAGGAAGAAUGAAGGUUCUCAUUCCUUUUUCCAGGUAAGUUUAAGGAGACAACCCCCAGCCUGAAGACAGCUGGGCUGAAGACCAGUGAAGGAGGAAUUCCUGCAGCUGGAGCUGCAGUCACAUAGGAGAGAUGGAGAAGAGAGAGGAGAACAUCCUGGCACAGCAUAGUACCAUUGUCUUUGGCCUCAAACCCUAGUACAAAGAAUAUCAUAAAGUUAUGCAUCAAUUGGAGUCGAGAAUAUGAUAAUCCGAGAAUUCAGGGAAAGAAAACAAGUGAGGAAGGGUGAGGAAAUAAAUGACCAUUACAGUAGGUUCUAUUUGGUAUUAUUGGUUUAUCUUGUUUUUUGCCGUUUUGAUAUUUUCACUGAAGAAUUUCUACUCCAUGCCACAGAGCCAGGGAGGGUAUCCUUAAAAAGUGCCUAAAAAGAGACAUUUCUAAUAUAUAUGUUCUAUUCAAGGGUCAUUAGGCAAAAAGGAGAGGCCGCAAUUUCUCCAGCUACGACUUUCCAAAUAACCAUUUGGGAAUUAAGAAAUGAUUUUUCAUUUAUAUCCAUAAUCUAAUGUUAGUCUAUUGCCUUCAUUCCUCUGAUCAUAAUCUCCUUUCUUCUGCACAGUUGCACAGUGUUUCAGUUGUCUAAAGCCUGCAGAAUUCCCAUGACAACGCCAACACCGCAGGUGCUAGAAUUAUUGUUUGAAAUGGUAACAAUUCCACUAUUCAUUAAGCACCUACAUCACAGGCUCAACUAGAUGCUUUGCAAACAUCUGGAUCCUCAGAACAACUGGGAAGGAAAGUAUGACUAUCUUAAUUUUAUUUAUGAGGUUAAUUAACCUGUUUUGCAUACCUAAUAAAUGGUGGAGUUGAGAUGUAAA